ensembl:snRNA U1 U1 spliceosomal RNA
AUACUUACCUGGCAGGGGAGAUUCCAUGAUCAAGAAGGCGGUUCACCCAGGGCAAGGCUCAGCCACUGUGCUGACCCCUACGUAUUCCCCAAACGUGGGAAUCUUGAAUCUUGCAUAAUUUCUGGUAGUGGGGGACUGCGUUUGUGCUCUCCCCUG